rnacentral:hammerhead_ribozyme from 1 species
AUCCAUCUGACGAGUCCCGAUUAGGACGAAAUGCGCUAUAUCCUGGAU